AUACGUAGGGGACGAGCGUUGUCCGGAAUUACUGGGCGUAAAGGGAGCGCAGGCGGAUAUUUAAGUCAGCUGUAAAAGGCAUGAGCUCAACUCAUGUAUGCGGUUGAAACCGGGUAUCUAGAGUGCUGGAGAGGUAGGCGGAAUUCCCGGUGGUGCGGUGAAAUGCGUAGAUAUCGGGAAGAACACCAGUGGCGAAGGCGGCUUACUGGACAGCAGCUGACGCUGAGGCGCGAAAGCCAGGGGAGCGAACGGGAUUAGAUCCCCCGGUAGUCCUGGCCGUAAACGAUGAAUGCUAGGUGUGGGUGUCGAGAGGCAUCCGUGCCGGAGUUAACGCGAUAAGCAUUCCGCCUGGGGAGUACGAUCGCAAGAUUGAAACUCAAAGGAAUUGACGGGG
rnacentral:rRNA from 1 species